UACGGGGGGAGCAAGCGUUGUUCGGAUUUACUGGGCGUAAAGGGCGCGUAGGCGGUUAGUUAAGAUUGAUGUGAAAGCCCUGGGCUUAACCUAGGAAUGGCAUCGAUGACUGGCGAGCUAGAGUACUGUAGAGGGUAGUGGAAUUUCCGGUGUAGCGGUGAAAUGCGUAGAGAUCGGAAGGAACACCGGUGGCGAAGGCGGCUACCUGGACAGUGACUGACGCUGAGGCGCGAAAGCGUGGGGAGCAAACAGG
rnacentral:rRNA from 1 species